GGCAAGGUAGCUCAGGUGGUCAGAGCGCGCGGUUCAUACCCGCGUUGUCGGGGGUUCAAAUCCCUCCCUUGCUACCA
rnacentral:tRNA from 1 species